UACGUAGGGACCGAGCGUUGUCCGGAUUCAUUGGGCGUAAAGAGCUCGUAGGCGGUUUGGUAAGUUGGAUGUGAAAUCUCCAGGCUCAACUUGGAGGGGUCAUUCGAUACUGCCAUGACUAGAGUUCGGUAGGGGAGUGUGGAAUUCCUGGUGGAGCGGUGAAAUGCGCAGAUAUCAGGAGGAACACCCGUAGCGAAGGCGGCACUCUGGGCCGGAACUAACGCUGAGGAGCGAAAGCGUGGGGAGCGAACAGG
rnacentral:rRNA from 1 species